UUUGAAUCAGGUGUUCAAAAUCCAUUCCAGCAACACUUGUUUCGCCAGGCUUGUGGACAUAGAAGAAUUUACUUCUGUUUCAUUUUAAAUGCCUUUUAAGUAAUGACAAACAUUACCAGUGAAGGGGAAAGAGGAUGAGUGAAAGAAUCCAAUACAUUUGGAAACAGCAAGUGAUGCGAUAGUCAUUUCAUCUUAAAAAAGGUGCAUACCUGCUCCCCAGCACCUGAGGCUGUUCUCAAACCACAUUUGAAGGCACAGCUCUGCUAAAGUAUCUGCCUUGUGGAGUCGCUCUGACUGCAAACCCAUGAGUGGCCUCAAUGGCCUUACGUGCAUUUCGGAGAAGAGAGGUAAAGCAAGUGUGGAUAAAUCCAAAGAUUCCAGAAUCGUUGCUGGAAAUUCUUGUGCUAAUCCUUCUUUUUUCUCUGCAAUAAGAUCUUCCGGUACCCCAGAGCACUUUGUAUGAAUUAAAAAGUCAAUGUUCUGUGAUUUCAGGGUCUUUGGAGAUUUAGAAACAAAGGGCUCAACAGAACCAGAAGAAUGCAGGCACGUCACUUGCAAAUCUUUUGGUAACUCUGAAUUGUUUUCCACAAAGUGAGAAUCUAGUACCCUUUUCGGGUUUCCACCAGAUGGUUUUGAAGUGUGGCAUACUGACAUUUGAAAUACCCAUGGAGUUGUUGGUUUCUUCGACUUUUGAGAUGAAACUUUGCGACUAAGUUUACUUUUACCGUG